AGCGAACCUAUAAAUAAAGAGGCUGUAACUAGCAGCUGGGAGUUGUUAAACGACUUAGCAAGUGAAAAAGUCGGAAAUGAGGCGCUGGGGAAGGAGCCGGGACCGGCAGCGGCCUGGGCUUAGGUAAAUCCUCCAAGAUUUGACUUCCCGCGGAAACCAGUAGCAGAGCGGGUGGAGGAGGCGAGGAUGCGGCUGGUACACACCGAGUUUCCUUGGCAAGGAAAAUCGAUGGUGCGAACCGUAUACAAUGCCAUCUAGACAGCCUUCCGUGAAACCGACGGGAGUGGCGCGAGCUGGCUGCCCCCUGCACCCAGCUGCAACUGUCCGAGCAACGCAAUAAUUACAAAAGGAAGGUCGGAAGGACAAAAAAGAAAAAAGAAAGAAAUCCGAAAUCUGAAAUUCAGAAAUUACUUUUACAUAGCUUCAGUUGUCCAGCUCCAAUGCCAGGCGUGGGCCCCAAGCCCCAUUACAGCCCAAGAAGCUGGGCUCUCGUGGACGCGUGCCGUGUGUGUGUGUGUGUGUGUGUGUGUGUGUGUGUGUGUGUGUGUGUGUGUGUUUGAGAGAGAGAGAGAGCGCGUGAGCGUGGGAGUGGGAGUGUAGCGGCUCCGGGGGCUGCCCUCGGCAGCCUUCUUAAAGUAGCCUCCAAAUGAGCCUAAUUUCGCUUCUGCUGUCCGCCAGGGCUGGCUCUCAGGACUCCUCGGCGCGGUUGGUCGCUGCCUCACCCUCCCUCGGCCAAGACCUGGCCUGAUCCGUCCAUUCCCUGGUGUCUCAUUGGAACCUCCCUGGAGGAAGGGGUGGGGGGUGAACAACUCCCAGCCGCCAGUUCCAUUUGUUGCGCUUUUU